GAGGGAGAGAGCAAACACAGAGAGACAGGAAGCAGAGGCAACACAGUAAAUCAGAGACGGAGAAAGGGAGAGAAAAACAAAUCAAAGACUAAGUGCAACUCAGCUGAGGACUUAAUGAAUGCUCAUCCAGCUGGCUUAAGGUUGUCCUCACUCACUCGGCUGUGAACGAGUGUCACAGAAUGGAUUUCAUUUUGGUUCAUCAGCCACCGAGCACCAGCAGCAGCAGCUCUGUAGAUUACUGUCACUCGUUUUGGAUUAUUUCAGACACCGCUGCUGUUGCGAUGAAUGGGGAUGACAGCACGCAGAUCGGAAAAUGAACCUCGAUUCUCUGGAAAGCUCGAUCCAGAACCUGUUGUCGGUGCUGUACCCUCCCUUUGAGGCCACCGCCCCCACUCUUCUCAGCCAGCUCUUCCAAAUCAUUGAUAGACGUUAUCGGGGAGAUGCUCUGCGGUGCCUGCUGGACUUUCUGUUCCCAGCCAAGCACAUCUUAGACACCGUGCAGCAGGCUGCAUGUGCUCAGUACUCUGAUGUACUUUUCCUGUGUGAGGGCUGGCCUCUAUGUAUACGUGACCAAGUUGUCGUCCACCUCGCUCCCAUCAACCCUUUGCUACUUCAGCCUGGCGACUUUUACCUCCAGGUGGCACCAUUCUGUAACCAAUCAGCUCGCGUCUUGGUCUGCAGCCUCCUGGAAGAGGAGGGGCUUAUAGUGGAAGUUGUCGAGGAGACUCCGAUUGCUGAAACAUCCUAUCCUUGUAUAUUCAGCCGUGACUGGUUGGAGGAGAUCAACCAGGGCCGCCAUGGAACGCCUCUCAGCCAAUGCCUGCUCGCCACUGAGCGGGGCGUGGUGAGGUUGCCAUGGGAACGGGUGGCCGUGCCGGAUUUCGUGGAGGUGCCACUGUGUGCUGGGAGUAGUAUGGCCUCGGCUCCUCCUUCAUAUCCUCCUUUACCACCGCCGCUUCCUCGUCCUCCACCUCUUCCUCAUUUCCCUGAGAAUUCUUCAUCAAAUCGUUCACUUCCUCUUUCUCCUUCAAAGACAUCUUCACCAAAACAGUAUCCUGUAACUAUUCAAAAUUCUACUUUAGCAUCUUCCUCACAUCCCUCUGCCUUCUCUGUGGAGACCCGAAUAUGUCCAGCGAGGCACGGCAUUGCUGUGUCACUCCGCCUCGUGGAUGCUAGCGCAGCUUCUUCAUCUAGACUAGUCAAACUGAAAGAGACUGAAAGUGAGCCUAAGCCUAUUGGCUGUGUGUCUCCUAAUACUUGGGACAGCUGCCUCACUGGGACCAGCCCAAGUACAGGCACAAAAACGAGCACUGUUUCAGGCACACGCACCCCUGCAAGUGGAGAUACAACUACCUGCAAACGUGAAGAUAAGGGUGUAAUUGUUUCUGAAAAUAUAGGGCCAGAUAAACAUCAAGGUACAAACAUUAAAGAUAUAAGCAGGAGAGAGCCAACAGGCCACACUGUUGCCGAAGGAGAAUAUAUUGAUAUUCUUCAGGCAACUCUGCUUUUUAGUAGAGCUCAGUCAGCAACUGAAGAACAACAGAAAUUAGAAGAGCAAAUGCAAUCGCAUGCACAAAUCGAACCGCAAAGGCAAAGAUAUCCACACAGACGAGCACAAAUGCAGCCUAACACACAGACACCACCUCAAGCACAGUCACAAGCACAUGGGCAGUUACCUACAAAACCACGAACACAAAGUCAUUCUGGAUCAGAGGCUGCUGUAUCAUUGACGCCCCAACCCGAAACCGCUCUCCACCAUUCCCAAUCCCAUCACCCUCACCCUGACUCCCUUGAACCUUUUGAGUGUGUCCGCACUGUCCGGUUCUCAGAGAAACCCUGUACCCCGUGCAUGAGGAGAAGACAAGGCGGAAAGGCGUCCAAAUCUCAGGAGCUGAGGUGUCGAUACAGGGACUCCUACCAGGCUGCUAUACAAAACCCUGUCCCCUUUGGGCAGGAGAAGAACAGGGGGAAUAUGUUAGCAGUGGUGGAGGAGGAUGGCGAUUUGUCACAGUGUGACGAAAGACUACCAGAGACUGAAACAGUGGAUCCAUGGUGCAAUGUUCAAGGAACAGGGUUUGAUCCCGGGAUGCAACACCAGUCUCCUCCCUCUGUCAGUGGAGCCACCUGUAAGGAGUCAGGAGAGAAGAACACUGUUCCAUAUUGGAAAAAAGGAGAUACAAACACUGCCCCCUGUAUGGAUUACAGGAGAACAAAUGUUUUAAACGUUGGCGGUCUACCAGAACAAACAACUGAAAGGACCACUCUGCGAUUCAGGGAACCAAGGGAUGCACACUCUGUGAAAACGUAUGGCAAUUUACACAAUGUGAACGGGACAAGCUUGAAAGAUCCUAACCAGUCAGAUGUGAUCUCUGCCAAACACCACAGAUUACCGGUUACUUCAACUGAAAUUUCAGCAAUGAACAUGACCCUCAAGCCUCGUGAGAGGCUACAAAGCAGAACCAAUUCCACGGGAGUGAGUCCAAACUUUCCUAAGCCUCUUUCAGCACCACAGAACAGACAUGAAUCCAUUUCAGAUGGAAGAUGUUCAUCCCUCUCCACAGCUGUGGUGCACACCUCGGAGAAGUGUGCGCUGGUCAUUGUGGAAGGUCAAAACAUUAGAAGAAGAGAAAACACUGGCUCCUGUGCAGAGAUUCCCCAGCUGCAUGUGGUCAAAUGUAAACACAGCACAGCCUUUGGAUUGGUUUCACCCAAGAUCAACAGGAGGAGGAUGGUCAUUCCAGAUGCUGCUCAGCCUGGCAGUGAGUUCAUAACCAGUAGAAAUAGCCAUCAGAUGGAGAACCCGUCACAGACAGAUCCACCUCCAGCAACAGAGACACAGAAGAUCCCCCAGCCUGCCUCUACUCGUCCCAGACCUGACCACCUUCCACUGGGAUCCCCAGACCCCAGAGCCCACCCCCUCUACUUAGGAGUGGCCUCCAUCACAGGCGGCAGAGACAAGACAGGCAGGGCAAUAGUUGAGCUCUAUGGACACCACCAGGGAUGGAGAUCAGCUGUAACCAGCCAAGAGCUCUUACAGAUGCUGCUCUACUUCCGCACUAUCACCAGGAGAGAAGUCAGAGAAGCUGGGCUGAUGCUCAUUUUUGAUUCAAGGAGGACAAAUCCUCAGCCGCAGCUCUAUAAGGCCUUGAUGAUGCUUCAGGAGCAGACUCCCCAUGCAGUAAAUAGUUCCGUGCUGCUGGUGAAUAAGGAGAACAGCCUUCGACCUGAGAGGUGUCCCGGCAUCCAGACUGAAGUGGUGACAUCCAUGAAAGCCUUGUUCAAGCUGGUGGAGGUGAGUCAGCUAAGCUCCCGCCUGGAUGGCACACUGUCUCACAGCCACUGUGACUGGAUAGAGCUGCACCAGAAACUCUUCCCAUUUGUGUCUGAUCUUCAUGAGGCAUCCAGCCUUCUUCUGAGAGCCAUCAGCAAGUUAGAGGAGCCCCAGAGGACAGACACUGUACAGACUUUGCAGCAGUGCAUGAUGGACCAGAGGACUCUGAUGAGGAAUGUCCUGGAGGACAGUCGAUUGGUCAGCCUGCAGAGGGAGGGCGGGGCCAUCCUGGCGAGGCUGAGAAAGGAGAGUGACCUCAAAUACCCGCACUGCGAGGACCUCAGUGAUGCAGUGGACUCGGUGACCAGCCUGUACAACCACGUGGAGGAGCAGGCUCAUGUCCUCGUGCAGAGGUCCAACAUGUCACUGGAACACCUGGAGUAUCUGCUGCAACUCAGAGAAGUGGAGGGACACUUCAUGCAGAUGCAACAGUGGUUUCAUGUAGAGGGAGAGCACCACCUGCUGGAGGUUGAAUCAGUCAACAACUCUGGAGACCGAAUGGAGCAGAUCCUCAACAGCUUCACUGGUUUCCUUAUCGAAGCAAAUGAUCGAAGGCACCACGCCAUGACGUUGGUGUCAGAGGCAGAGCGACUCCAGCAGAGCGGGUUCCCCUACCCAGAGACGGAGGCGUUCGGGACUCUAGUCAGCACCUUCAAGUCAGGCCUGGAGGACAUUCUGUGCAGGGCGGAGGCAUCUGGCAGGGAGCUGCAGAUCAUGGUCAACGUGUGUGAUUUUUGUGAGCAGGCUACAGCUCUCGCCAGCGAAUGCAUUGAGUACCUGGACCAGAAUCAAUCCAGAAUCCACACAAUGCAGGACCGUGACCAGACUACAACAGCUGUCAAUCAAACAAACACUCAGCCAAUACAACACCAAAACCAAGACCGCAGAGUGAGCACUGCAUCCCUUUGCCCGUCUGAUAACCACGCAGCACAUGCCUCAGGCACAACCACCACCACCAGUGUUUUACUGUCAAGCAAUGACACCUCCGUCCUCCAGACUUUCCAAGACAGGUUCCUCCAGUUUAGCCCAGAGAGAUUUCAGGAGGUGAAGGCCCAGGCCAGCGCCCUGCAGGGCUCCAGGGGGAUGCAGGUCUGGAACAUAGCCUGGCUGAGAUGCCAGGAGGCCAGGCAGCAGCUUCAGGAGAGGAUGCAGGAUGUGGAGGAGGUUUUCCAACAUCAACCAGAUUCUAGCAGCUGGUGUGAACUUCACUAUGUUGAUGUGGUCAGCACUAAUGUUCAGAUGCCGUCCUCCGGUGGCCAGAGUCUGGUGGUACAAUCGACGCCCGGGCCUCGGCACCCGCAGUGGGGGGGCAUCGUGACGGGAGCGGUGGAUUUAGGGAAGAGAAGGCCGAUCCUGGGCAGCAACAACACUACCUCAACGACUGUAGCCUGCUGUAACAUCACACCUGAGGAUCACAGUGAUGCUGUAACCAGCCAGGGGUCAAAGGUCACUCCACAGUCACCUCCCAGGUCAGCAAGAAGAACAGAAAGAGAGACGAGGAGGAGACAGACGAGGAGUGAGAGGGACGCUGCUGCUUUGUCUCAGUCCCACACUGUCGGGUGCCAGUGGUUUCCAUGGGGACGAGGUCUUGGAGCGAGGUCGGCGAGCCAGGACUCUUGCACCACAGGAGUAGCAACAGCGGGGUCGUCCACUCCUCCGGAGCAGAGGCUUCGACCCCCAUCAUCCUGCUCCCACCACGGUCAGCCGUCCUGUCGGAUCCUCCAAGAGGCUCAGAAGUUCCAGAUCUCCCGCCACGGGAGCUUCUGCUCAGAAGAGUCCUGUAUGAGCGACCGGGGGGCUGCAGGGUGUAACGGGACUUCAUGCGGCAAGCACUCCAGCCUGCCCAUCGGGGGAUAUGAGGGGGCGUUUUGUUUGGCAAGACCACAGGAGAGUGCCGGCAAUGCCCUGCGGCUGCAGCGUGUCUUGGAGGAGCUGGUGUUCACUGAGAGGGAGUACGUGCGCUCACUGGGCUACAUCUUGACCCACUACCUCCCCCUGCUGGACAGACCAGACAUCCCCCAGGACCUCAGGGGCAAGCGAGGAGUCAUCUUCGGUAACCUGGAGAAGCUUUACGACUUCCACAGUCACUACUUCCUGCCAGAGUUGGAGGCCUGCCAGAGGGAGCCCGGCAUGGUGGCCCGCUGCUUUCUCAGACAUAGUGAGAGUUUUGGCCUGUACGCUCUGUACAGCAAGAACAAACCUCUGUCAGACGCCCUGAUCCUGCACCGUCGCCAUGACAUCUUCAAGAAGAAGCAGCAGGAGCUGGGGGACAUGAUGGACCUUUCAUCCUACCUGCUGAGGCCCAUCCAGAGGAUCAGCAAGUACAGCCUCUUGCUUCAGGACAUGCUGGCUCUGGCUGGCUCAUACAGGCCAAAAGACAUGAUCCAGGAUACACUGCUCGCAUCUAGUGUGUGCACACAAAGUGUGUGUGGCCCGGGUUCGUAUGUGCCUGAUCUGACGAGCAGUGACAGGGAGCGGGAGAGGGCUGAGAUCCAAGCUGCUGCAGACCUGGUUCGGUUUCAGAUGCGUCACGGCAAUGAUUUGCUCACCAUGGACGCCAUCCUGGAGUGUGAUGUGAAUUUGAAAGAGCAGGGCCAGCUGAUUCGCCAGGAUGAGUUCACAGUCUUCUUUAGGAAGAAGAAAUGUGUCCGCCGCAUCUUUCUCUUUGAAGAUCUCAUCCUCUUCAGCAAGACCAAGAGGACAGAUAUUGGCAACGAUGUUUAUGUCUACAAGCAGUCAUUUAAGACGAGCGACAUUGGGAUGACCCACAACUCAAGUGUGAGCAGCUUGUGUUUUGAGAUCUGGUUCCGCAGAAGAAAAAAUGAAGACACCUACACACUGAAGGCCUCCAGCAUGGAGGUGAAGAAAGCGUGGACCACCGACCUGGAGAGGAUUCUGUGGGAUCAGGCCACUCACAGUAGAGAGCUGCGCAUGCAGGAAAGGGUGUUCAUGGGAAUGGGCCGUAAACCCUUCAUGGACAUUCAACCCAGUGAUGCUGCCAUCUGUGACCGAGCGGUCAGCUGCGCCCUGCCUGGGAGAAUGCCUGUGGCCUGUUGUUCACACAGGGGCUUAGACUAUCCACGACCACACUCCAUUGGCUCUGGCAGCACCGCCUCCACCACCCUCAGCCAAUCAUCUUCCUCCUCUGGACGGGGAUCGCUGCCCCCUGCUGGUUAUCCAGGGAACCAGUCACAGGGGGCAGAGGAGACCAGUCUUGCUGUCUGCUCCUCCCCAGAGGGAGCGACUGAAAAUGAACUCAACAAUCAUCAUCUUCGUCAGCAUCAUCUUCAUCGUAACUGUGAACAAUGGAAGAGGCAUCAUCCACUGCGGUCCGUUUCUGCUUUAGUGGACAGCACUGAAUCAUCUGGGGAAUGCAUCAACCUCUUCAGCAGCUCAGACCGCAGCUACCUGUCUACCAUUGGUGGAGAGUUAGUGGACGACACCUCCUCGAUUGUAUCCCAGAGUUCAAAGCCCCAUCCACCACUUUGUCGGACACCCAGUCUGAGGAUAGACAGCUCACCAGUGGUUACCAGAAAGAAACCAGGUGUAACCCCAAAACCUCCACAUCUGGCUAACACCCAGGUACAGGUGAAGGUGUAACAAUAUGACCCGCUUAAUUGUAUGUAUGUAUCAACUGAAGACAACGUGUCAAGACUGAAAAUGAUCUCAAUCACACGUCGUUUCUCUAAAGUCGUCGUGGUUUGAAAAAGAGGGAUGACAUUAUAAUUGGAAAAUCAACAGAAGUCUAACGUUGGAUUCCCUGCAGGAGAUCAUCUGACUGAAGCUGUUCAGUCCUGUGGGAGAUCCUAUGGCCACCAGACAGACAUUUAAUCCGUGUGAACAAAGUUAUUUUAUGUGGCUACACAGUCACAAGGCAGUCAGGUUCAUCUGGUCACAAUGUUUUGUUUUUAAUGAUUUACUGAAGCAAUUGAGGUUUGAUGUGUUGGUAUCAUGUGCCAGUCGUUCCAAUGUGACUGUCCAUAUCACAUACAGACUAACCACUCAGCAAGAAAGAAGAAGAGGGCACUACAUGGAUGAUGUGGUUAACGGACUCAUCAUGAGACACACUAUUUUGUGGGAUCUUCUGUGCUGUGCAGCUGGUACAAUUAUUAAUAUGCAGGGAUCAAUGAAGGUUGCAUUUAUUAUCUUCAUGGAAAUCCACAGCUUGUGUGGAAGAAACACACAGGACCAGCAUCACCACGCAUCCAAGUGUAUCGCUCUGUGUGUCAUGCUCCUUUUCCCUCUGUUAGCAGGCAGAGCAGAGCAUCAUUAUUCUGUUGACAACUGAACCACGUUGUUUUGGUUACAAGAUCACAAGAGAAACUGUUGUUCAAGUCCAAGAUACAGUCCAGAGCUGUUCACUGGCCCGAAGCCCAGAACUAGCUGAUGGUCCAAGUCGAUGACCAUAAAAGCAUGUGGAGACUUGUGCAUAUACAGAGAAGUAAAAUGAUUUGAUGGUGUAUUAUUAUUAUAGAUGUAAUUCAUAUAUAAAGAUAUUUCUUUUUCCCCACACUUAAAGCGUUUCCUAUUUAUUUCUUAUGGGCCAUUUUUAUACUGCUGCUGUCUGUCUAAACAUUUGUUUUUAUCUGUCUGGCUUUGAGAUUCUUACAGUAGUCCUGUAUUUAAUAAUUUAUCAGAUGGGACUGACCACUUGCAUAUGUGUGUUUUCAUAUCUGGAUUUGAACUACUCUGUAACCCAUGCAUUUCAUACAUAGAUACAACUAUCUUGAAAGACCAGGUUGUCUACACAAGUGUAAUUAUUGCAUAGUCACAGACACAGUAGAUGACUCAAAGCUUCCAGGCAAAUGGUUCCAUAUACUGAUCAAUGCUCCAGCUACACCCGCAUAGAACAUGACCAUUACAAAAAAGCAUUUUCCUGAAUAUUUUGUAAUCUUAAUAAAUUAUUGAUGAAACAGGUCAUAUUGUCAUCCUCUGUUUAUUUUAUUUUAAAGUCACUAACUGUUUAUGACAUGGAAGAUCCAUAUUUUUAUUGCUUACUUGCUUUCUUCCAAGCUUUUUCUUUUCGUUAAUGUGUUGAUGUGUUAUUAUUUGCUUAUUUAAAUGUAGAGGCGAUUGUUGUUAUUUUUUUUAUUUUUUUUAAGAUAGAUUCUAAGUUGUGGUAGUGUGUGGUUUCUUCCGUUUUAACUGGCAGACUGCAGGAACAUGAAGGUAUGGUCCCAGACUGUGUUGAGGCUUCACUUCCUCAUUCCACAGACACAGCCAUUUCUCAGAAGGACAGCCAGAUACUUAUUGCAAAAGGUUUAAUUUCCCUUUGUGCAGGUUUCAGUUUGGUGCUGAACACCACUGCAGUUGAAAUCAGUGUUUCAGUUCUUUAUUUUAAGUUGCAGGGGUAUUUCACUGGCUAAAAUGAUUUAUUACAUUUUGCGCACAAAUUUGAUGAAAUAUAGACCCACAGUCCUCUGUUCAGCCUUCAUCGAACUGUUUUUAUCCAUGCACCAAUCAGAAAAAAUGCACACUCAAGAUGCAGUUUCCUUACCUUUUGUCAACUUCCCCCAGUAACUCAAAAAUGUAAAAGUGAA